rnacentral:rRNA from 1 species
AACGAACGCUGGCGGCAGGCUUAACACAUGCAAGUCGAACGGUUGUAGCAAUACAGCAGUGGCAGACGGGUGAGUAACACGUGGGAACCUUCCUAGGGGUACGGAACAACUCAGGGAAACUUGAGCUAAUACCGUAUACGUCCGUGAGGAGAAAGAUUUAUCGCCCUUAGACGGGCCCGCGUCGGAUUAGCUAGUUGGUGGGGUAACGGCCUACCAAGGCGACGAUCCGUAGCUGAUCUUAGAGGAUGAUCAGCCACACUGGGACUGAGACACGGCCCAGACUCCUACGGGAGGCAGCAGUGGGGAAUCUUGGACAAUGGGCGCAAGCCUGAUCCAGCCAUGCCGCGUGAGUGAAGAAGGUCUUCGGAUUGUAAAGCUCUUUUGCCAGGGACGAUAAUGACGGUACCUGGAGAAUAAGCCCCGGCAAACUUCGUGCCAGCAGCCGCGGUAACAC